CCUACGGGUAGCAGCAGUGAGGAAUAUUGGUCAAUGGACGAGAGUCUGAACCAGCCAAGUAGCGUGAAUGAUGACUGCCCUAUGGGCUGUAAACUUCUUUUACAAAGGAAUAAAACGAGUCACGUGUGCCUUUUUGCAUGUACUUUUUGAAUAAGGAUCGGCUAACUCCGUGCCAGCAGCCGCGGUAAUACGGAGGUGCCGAGCGUUAUCCGGAUUUAAUGGGUUUAAAGGGAGCGUAGAUGGGUGUUUAAGUCAGUUGUUAAAGUUUGCGGCUCAACCGUGGAAUUGCAAUUGAUACUGGCCGUCUUGAGUACAGUUGAGGUAGGCGGAAUUCGUGGUGUAGCGGUGAAAUGCUUAGAUAUCACGAGGAACCCCGAUUGCGAAGGCAGCUUACUAAACUGUGACUGACGUUGAUGCUCGAAAGUGUGGGUAUCAAACAGGAUUAGAUACCCCUGUAGUC
rnacentral:rRNA from 1 species